rnacentral:rRNA from 1 species
CCUACGGGUGGCAGCAGUAGGGAAUAUUGCUCAAUGGGGGAAACCCUGAAGCAGCAACGCCGCGUGGAGGAUGAAGGUUUUCGGAUUGUAAACUCCUUUUUUUAGAGAAGAUAAUGACGGUAUCUAACGAAUAAGCACCGGCUAACUCCGUGCCAGCAGCCGCGGUAAUACGGAGGGUGCAAGCGUUACUCGGAAUCACUGGGCGUAAAGAGCGCGUAGGCGGUGUAGCAAGUCAGAUGUGAAAUCCUAUGGCUUAACCAUAGAACUGCAUUUGAAACUGUUAGUCUAGAGUAUGGGAGAGGUAGGUGGAAUUCUUGGUGUAGGGGUGAAAUGCGUAGAGAUCAAGAGGAAUACUCAUUGCGAAGGCGACCUGCUAGAACAUAACUGACGCUGAUGCGCGAAAGCGUGGGGAGCAAACAGGAUUAGAUACCCCAGUAGUC